rnacentral:rRNA from 1 species
AGGACGAACGCUGGCGGCGUGCUUAACACAUGCAAGUGGAGCGACGAACCAGGGCUUGCCCUGGGGCAGAGCCGCGAACGGGUGAGUAACACGUGGGUUACCUGCCUCGAUGACCGGGACAACCCGAGGAAACUCGGGCUAAUACCGGAUGUGCCCGCAAGGGGAAAGGAAGCUUCGGCCUCCGCAUCGAGAUGGGCCCGCGGCCCAUUAGCUUGUUGGUGAGGUAACGGCUCACCAAGGCUUCGAUGGGUAGCUGGUCUGAGAGGACGAUCAGCCACACUGGGACUGAGACACGGCCCAGACUCCUACGGGAGGCAGCAGUGGGGAAUCUUGCGCAAUGCGCGAAAGCGUGACGCAGCAACGCCGCGUGGGGGAAGAAGGCUUUCGGGUGUAAACCCUUUCAGUUGGGACGAAGCUUCGACGGUGAAUAGCCGGACGGAGUGACGGUACCUUCACAAGAGCACCGGCUAACUACGUGCCAGCAGCCG